rnacentral:rRNA from 1 species
UAGGGAAUCUUCCACAAUGGACGAAAGUCUGAUGGAGCAACGCCGCGUGAGUGAAGAAGGGUUUCGGCUCGUAAAACUCUGUUGUUAAAGAAGAACAUAUCUGAGAGUAACUGUUCAGUAUUGACGGUAUUUAACCAGAAACGCCACGGCUAACUACGUGCCAC